rnacentral:misc_RNA from 1 species
UGCUUUGAUGGUAUUAAGGGAGUCUAUCUUACGGGUAUGAUGCAGAUAUACAAACUUCGUGAAAGCAUCCACUAAAACGAUGACAUAUUCCUUGGAGUCAUUUUUGCCACUUAGCUUGCCCGUUAUGUCCAUGUGCACCGUAUGCCACGGUAUGCUGGUCUUGGGUAUAGGAUGCAGUUCGGCUUGUAUCUUACCUAAACU